rnacentral:rRNA from 1 species
CCUACGGGCGGCAGCAGUGGGGAAUAUUGGACAAUGGGCGAAAGCCUGAUCCAGCCAUGCCGCGUGUGUGAAGAAGGCCUUCGGGUUGUAAAGCACUUUCAGUGGGGAAGAAAGCCUUGGGGCUAAUACCCUCGAGGAAGGACAUCACCCACAGAAGAAGCACCGGCUAACUCCGUGCCAGCAGCCGCGGUAAUACGGAGGGUGCGAGCGUUAAUCGGAAUUACUGGGCGUAAAGCGCGCGUAGGCGGUCUGAUAAGCCGGUUGUGAAAGCCCCGGGCUCAACCUGGGAACGGCAUCCGGAACUGUCAGGCUAGAGUGCAGGAGAGGAAGGUAGAAUUCCCGGUGUAGCGGUGAAAUGCGUAGAGAUCGGGAGGAAUACCAGUGGCGAAGGCGGCCUUCUGGACUGACACUGACGCUGAGGUGCGAAAGCGUGGGUAGCAAACAGGAUUAGAUACCCUGGUGUC